rnacentral:rRNA from 2 species
GUAUCGGAGGGAUCAUUG